GGUAGCGUGGCCGAGUGGUCUAAGGCGCUGGUUUUACGCACCAGUCUCUUCGGGGGCGUGGGUUCGAAUCCCACCGCUGCCA
rnacentral:tRNA from 1 species